CCUACGGGAGGCAGCAGUGGGGGAUCUUGCACAAUGGGCGAAACCCUGAUGCAGCAACGCCGCGUGAGCGAAGAAGGCCUUUGGGUCGUAAAGCUCUGUCCUAAGGGGAGAAGGAAGUGACGGUACCUGAGGAAGAAGCCCCGGCUAACUACGUGCCAGCAGCCGCGGUAAUACGUAGGGGGCAAGCGUUCUCCGGAAUUAGUGGGCGUAAAGAGUACGUAGGCGGUUCUGUAAGCGUAGGGUCUAAGGCGAUGGCUAAACCAUCGUUCGCCCUGGGAACUGGAGGUCUUGAGUGUCGGAGAGGCAAGCGGAAUUCCUAGUGUAGCGGUGAAAUGCGUAGAUAUUAGGAGGAACACCAGUGGCGAAGGCGGCUUUCUGGACGACAACUGACGCUGAGGUUCGAAAGCGUGGGGAGCAAACAGGAUUAGAUACCCUUGUAGUC
rnacentral:rRNA from 1 species